UACGUAGGGGGCAAGCGUUGUCCGGAAUCACUGGGCGUAAAGCGCGCGCAGGCGGCGAUCUACGUCCGGGGUGAAAACCCAGAGCUCAACUCUGGGACUGCCUUGGAUACGGGAUCGCUUGAGGAUCGGAGAGGCAAGGGGAAUUCCACGUGUAGCGGUGAAAUGCGUAGAGAUGUGGAGGAACACCUGUGGCGAAGGCGCCUUGCUGGCCGAUUUCUGACGCUGAGGCGCGAAAGCGUGGGGAGCAAACAGG
rnacentral:rRNA from 1 species